rnacentral:rRNA from 1 species
CCUACGGGAGGCAGCAGUGAGGAAUAUUGGUCAAUGGACGAGAGUCUGAACCAGCCAAGUAGCGUGAAGGAUGACUGCCCUAUGGGUUGUAAACUUCUUUUAUAAAGGAAUAAAACGAGGCACGUGUGCCUUUUUGCAUGUACUUUAUGAAUAAGGAUCGGCUAACUCCGUGCCAGCAGCCGCGGUAAUACGGAGGAUCCGAGCGUUAUCCGGAUUUAUUGGGUUUAAAGGGAGCGUAGAUGGGUUGUUAAGUCAGUUGUGAAAGGUUGCGGCUCAACCGUAAAAUUGCAAUUGAUACUGGCAGUCUUGAGUACAGGUGAGGUAGGCGGAAUUCGUGGUGUAGCGGUGAAAUGCUUAGAUAUCACGAAGAACCCCGAUUGCGAAGGCAGCUUACUAAACUGUGACUGACAUUGAUGCUCGAAAGUGUGGGUAUCAAACAGGAUUAGAUACCCGAGUAGUC